UACGAAGGGGGCUAGCGUUGCUCGGAAUCACUGGGCGUAAAGGGUGCGUAGGCGGGUCUUUAAGUCAGGGGUGAAAUCCUGGAGCUCAACUCCAGAACUGCCUUUGAUACUGAGGAUCUUGAGUACGGGAGAGGUGAGUGGAACUGCGAGUGUAGAGGUGAAAUUCGUAGAUAUUCGGAAGAACACCAGUGGCGAAGGCGGCUCACUGGCCCGUUACCGACGCUCAGGCGCGACAGCGUGGGGAGCAAACAGGAGUUAG
rnacentral:rRNA from 1 species